rnacentral:rRNA from 1 species
GAUGAACGCUAGCGAUAGGCUUAACACAUGCAAGUCGAGGGGCAGCACAAGGUAGCUUGCUAUCUGGGUGGCGACCGGCGCACGGGUGCGUAACGCGUAUGCAACUUGCCCUAUACAGGAGGAUAACCCGUCGAAAGACGGACUAAUACUGCGUAUGCUCACAACUUGGCAUCCAGUGGUGAGGAAAGAAAUUCGGUAUAGGAUAGGCAUGCGUCCCAUUAGCUUGUUGGUGAGGUAACGGCUCACCAAGGCAACGAUGGGUAGGGGAACUGAGAGGUUUAUCCCCCACACUGGUACUGAGACACGGACCAGACUCCUACGGGAGGCAGCAGUGAGGAAUAUUGGUCAAUGGGCGCGAGCCUGAACCAGCCAAGUCGCGUGAAGGAUGACUGUCUUAUGGAUUGUAAACUUCUUUUAUACGGGAAUAACAAGAGUCACGUGUGACUCCCUGCAUGUACCGUAUGAAUAAGCAUCGGCUAACUCCGUG